UACAGAGGGUGCGAGCGUUAAUCGGAAUUACUGGGCGUAAAGCGCGCGUAGGCGGCUUUGCAAGUCGGGUGUGGAAUCCCCAGGCUUAACCUGGGAACUGCAUUCGAGACUGCAUUGCUAGAGUAUGGGAGAGGGAAGUGGAAUUUCCGGUGUAGCGGUGAAAUGCGUAGAUAUCGGAAGGAACAUCAGUGGCGAAAGCGACUUCCUGGACCAAUACUGACGCUCAUGUGCGAAAGCGUGGGGAGCAAACAGG
rnacentral:rRNA from 1 species